CCAUUGUUGAGGAAGAGUUGCAUUCCAAGUUGCACAACUUGGCAUGCACAAAUGGGAAAAGAUGUGUACAAAGUUCUUGUGAGCAUCCGCUGUUGUUGAACAUGUUGGAUAUGCCAUUCCUGGUCCAACAUGGACAAAACAUGGACACAGAAUUGGUUAAAGGCAAAGCUAAAAGGCCUACACUGGAUCAAAAAGAGAUUGUGGAGUGUGAUGUGGGCUGUGUUGAGAUACAAUUGUUGAGGAAGAGUUGCAGUUAGUUCAGCAACUUGGCAUACGCAAAUAGGGAAGAAACAUGUACAACAAGGAAAUUCUCGUGAGCAUACGCUGUUGGUGAACAUGUUGGAAAUGCUGUAUGGGUGCCAGUGUAGACAUAAAAUGGAAAGCCGAAAGG
rnacentral:lncRNA from 1 species